GGCCCGGUCGUCUAUUUGGAAUUGAGGAUACCUGGCCUUCACCCAGGAGAGACGGGUUCGAACCCCGUCCGGGCUGCCA
rnacentral:tRNA from 1 species